GUGUACGUCGAAGCAAUGCCACCAAGAGAACACCCUUGUGCUAUUUUAGGAUGUAAGGCUCAGCACAAGAGCCUUCACCGUCUUCCUUCAAAUGAGCAACAGAGGCUUAAGUGGCUGAGUUUUAUCUUUGAAGACAAGGUGCCUGAAAAUGUACCAAAACUGUUGUAUGUUUGCGCUAACCACUUUAGCGUAGACUGCCUCGAGAACGCGGGACAAUACAACUCCGGAUUCGCGAGUAAAUUGUUUUUGAAAACUGGAUCAGUUCCUACAAUACGUGAUCCUGCCUCACUUCAAGCCACGACGUCGACAAAGAGCAACAAGGUGGAUGUUGCUUGCCAGACCUUUUCACACAUCUUUACACAGUGUUGGUACCCAGUUGUCUUUUAGGACGCUUCAGGCUAAACGCAGGAGUACAAGUGUCCAGACAACAAUAUCCAGUUUUGAACUGACUGUACCAUCAGCGUCCUCUACUGCGUGUAUGA